AGCAGCCGCGGUAAUUCCAGCUCCAAUAGCGUAUAUUAAAGUUGUUGCAGUUAAAAAGCUCGUAGUUGAAUUUCGAGAUCAAUAUGUUGGUCGUGCCUCGGUACGUACUUGCAUCAUUGAUUUCUCCCUUCUGAUGAACCAUGAUGCCAUUAAUUUGGUGUCUUGGGGAAUCAGGACUGUUACUUUGAAAAAAUUAGAGUGUUUAAAGCAGGCUCACGCUUGAAUACAUUAGCAUGGAAUAAUGAAAUAGGACGUUUGAUUCUAUUUUGUUGGUUUCUAGGAUCGACGUAAUGAUUAAUAGGGAUAGUUGGGGGCAUUAGUAUUCAAUUGUCAGAGGUGAAAUUCUUGGAUUUAUUGAAGACUAACUACUGCGAAAGCAUUUGCCAAGGAUGUUUUCAUUAAUCAAGAACGAAAGUUAGGGGAUCGAAGACGAUCAGAUACCGUCGUAGUCUUAACCAUAAACUAUGCCGACUAGGGAUCGGAUGAUGUUAAUUUUUUAAUGUA
rnacentral:rRNA from 1 species